AUUGAACGCUGGCGGCAGGCUUAACACAUGCAAGUCGAGCGGGGUGAUGGUGCUUGCACUAUCACUUAGCGGCGGACGGGUGAGUAAUGCUUAGGAAUCUGCCUAUUAGUGGGGGACAACAUCUCGAAAGGGAUGCUAAUACCGCAUACGUCCUACGGGAGAAAGCAGGGGAUCACUUGUGACCUUGCGCUAAUAGAUGAGCCUAAGUCGGAUUAGCUAGUUGGUGGGGUAAAGGCCUACCAAGGCGACGAUCUGUAGCGGGUCUGAGAGGAUGAUCCGCCACACUGGGACAGAGGCACGGCCCAGACUCCUACGGGAGGCAGCAGUGGGGAAUGUUGGACAAUGGGGGGAACCCUGAUCCAGCCAUGCCGCGUGUGUGAAGAAGGCCUUAUGGUUGUAAAGCACUUUAAGCGAGGAGGAGGCUCUUUUGGUUAAUACCCAGAAUGAGUGGACAUUACUCGCAGAAUAAGCACCGGCUAACUCUGUGCCAGCCGCCGCGGUAA
rnacentral:rRNA from 1 species